AUCUAGCUGAUGAGUCUCAAAUAAGACGAAAGAUAUAUCCUAGAU
rnacentral:hammerhead_ribozyme from 1 species